UCGACCAGACAAGAGCAGGGGGCGACCAAGUUCAUCAAAACCCUAGUUCAGCAUAAAAUCUCUAAAUUGAAGGAUCAAACUCAGUCCAAAUCAAAAUCCGAACAUAGAUUAGUGAUCCUCAUCACAAGGGGGUUACAAGGCAAAGAAUCCGGAUCGUCAAGCGGACAAGCCGGAGCGGAUACGCGUUUGAAGGGUGUGCUCUAAAGGUAACAAGAUGGAUCUUACGGAUGGCGAUCAAGCACAUGAUGAAGAACCGAACACUACAUUUUGAAGCUUCCGCAAUGUUUUAAAUCUUUAGUAGUAUUAUGUAUGGGUUGUAAACAUUAUUAAACUACUUUUGAAAUGUUUUAACUUAGCCACUAGUUGACUAAGGUUGAUGUACUUAUGAGUUCCGUUAACGAAUACUUUGUCACUUAAUCAAUAUUUUGGAUAA